GAUGAACGCUAGCGGCAGGCCUAAUACAUGCAAGUCGAACGGUGUCUUCGGACAUAGUGGCGCACGGGUGCGUAACACGUAUGCAACCUACCUUACAUUGGGGGAUAGCCUUUCGAAAGGGAGAUUAAUACCGCAUAAGACAGUAGCUGGGCAUCCAGCAGCUGUUAAAGAUUUAUCGAUGUAAGCUGGGCAUGCGUCCAAUUAGCUAGUUGGUGAGGUAACGGCUCACCAAGGCAAUGAUUGGUAGGGGAACUGAGAGGUCAAUCCCCCACACUGGCACGGAGAUACGGGCCAGACUCCUACGGGAGGCAGCGGUAGGGAAUAGUGGGCAAUGGGCGCAAGUCUGACCCAGCCAUGCCGCGUGCAGGAUGAAGGCGUUAUGCGUUGUAAACUGCUUUUAUACAGGAAGAAACGACUCUUGCGAGAGGCAUUGACGGUACUGUAUGAAUAAGCACCGGCUAACUCCGUGCCAGCCGCCGCGGUAAAAC
rnacentral:rRNA from 1 species